AUGACAUGUGAACUUCAAUCAUUAGGGGAUAAAUUUGAUGGCACCCCCAUACACUGGUAUCAACAAAAGGAGGGUAAUGCUCCAGAGAGGCUCCUGUUCUUUUCAGGAGGGAAAGCUUCAGUUGAAAGUGGCUUUCAAGCGCACAGGUACAUGGUUGAAAAAGUUUCUAGCCAGAAACGGUGCGUUCUUACAAUAAACGAUGUAAUUCCAGACGACGCUGCUACUUACUACUGCGCCUACUGGGACCCUCACUGUGAUAGAAACUCAAAGAUCAUCAAGGCAAAAAACCCAUCCCUCAACGUCUGA